UACGUAGGGAGCAAGCGUUGUCCGGAUUUACUGGGUGUAAAGGGUGCGUAGGCGGCUUUGCAAGUCAGAUGUGAAAUCUAUGGGCUCAACCCAUAAACUGCAUUUGAAACUGUAGAGCUUGAGUGAAGUAGAGGCAGGCGGAAUUCCCCGUGUAGCGGUGAAAUGCGUAGAGAUGGGGAGGAACACCAGUGGCGAAGGCGGCCUGCUGGGCUUUAACUGACGCUGAGGCACGAAAGUGUGGGGAGCAAACAGG
rnacentral:rRNA from 1 species